UGCUGUAUUUCUACGUAUAAGGUGGUGGAGGUGUUAUUUGAGCAGUUCAUAUCUGUUCUGUGGUUUCAGCGUCUAUUUGAAGCUCUCGUCAUCAAUUUCAUAUCUUGUCUCCGCAUUUAUUUGAACCUCUUUAUCAUCAAUCUUCAAGCUUCAGCUGCAGCCUUCGAUUCGUUUGCCCCCGAAAGAAAAGGAAAAUGUUUGACAAAGACUUUUUCACUGAAUAUGGUGAAGCAAGUCAAUAUGAAAUAACAGAUGUAGUUGGCCGAGGAAGUUAUGGUGUGGUUGCAUCUGCAAUAGAUACUCACACUGGAGAGAAAGUGGCUAUUAAGAAGAUGACCAAUAUCUUUGAGCACACCCCUGAUGCAAUCCGCAUUCUUAGAGAGAUCAAACUCCUACGGUUGCUGCGACACCCGGAUAUUGUUCAAAUAAAACACAUAAUGCUUCCUCCAUGUAGUCGAGAAUUUAAAGAUAUAUUUGUUGUUUUUGAGUUGAUGGAAUCUGAUCUUCACCAUGUUAUAAAGAUAAACGACGAUCUAACCCCUGACCAUCAUCAAUUUUUCUUGUACCAGCUUCUUCGGGGUCUAAAAUACAUUCACACAGCUCAUGUUUUCCAUAGAGAUUUAAAGCCAAAAAAUAUACUUGCUAAUGCGGACUGCAAACUGAAGCUUUGUGAUUUUGGACUUGCUCGGGUAUCAUUUACUGAUGUACCUUCAGCUAUUUUUUGGACUGACUACGUGGCUACUAGAUGGUAUCGUGCUCCUGAGCUGUGCGGUUCAUUUUUCUCAAAUUACACCCCUGCUGUUGAUAUUUGGAGUGUAGGAUGUAUAUUUGCUGAGUUGCUUACAGGGAAACCGCUGUUUCCUGGGAAGAAUGUCGUGGAUCAGUUGGAACUCGUGACUGAUUUGCUUGGCACUCCCUCUGUGGAAACAAUUGCAAGGAUACGAAAUGAAAAAGCUAGAAAGUAUUUGAAUAGCAUGAGAAAAAAGAAACCAAUCCCUUUCUCACAAAAAUUUCCAACUAUAGAUCCAUUGGCCCUCAAUUUGCUUGAGCGUCUCAUCGCAUUUGAUCCUAAUGAUCGUCCAUCUGCUGAGGAGGCAUUAGCUCAUCCAUAUUUCCACGGAUUGGCAAAUCUGGACAAUGAACCAUCCAUGAAACCCAUUUCAAAAUUUGAAUUUGAAUUUGAACGAAGGAAAUUGGCAGAAGAUGAUGUCCGAGAGCUAAUCUACAGAGAGAUAUUAGAGUACCAUCCGCAGAUGCUUCAGGAGCACCUUCAAGGCAAAGAUCAGAUUAGCUUCAUGUAUCCAAGUGGAGUUGAUCGGUUUAGACGACAAUUUGCUUGUCUUGAGGAAUAUGGAACGAAUGACAGUGGUAUUCUGCUACAAAGGAAAUAUACAUCUUUGCCUAGGGAACGAAUCUGCAAUGAUGAUACUGAUCACAUUGAUCAAUCAAAAAAGCGUACCGUGUCUUCUGCUACUCGUGCGACAUAUCAAAGCCCUACAAAAUUGCAAGGAUCCGGGGACUUGGGGUAUGCAAACCAGAAUGUUUCAGGGACUCAGGAAACCUCUGGGAAACCUACUUCAAGUACUGCCCGUUGCCUGUUGAAAAGCAAUAGCAUCAGUGCUUCAAGGUGUGUUGGUGUCAUUCAGAAACCUUGUGAGGUGCACAAUGAAGUACAGAAAGCAAUAGCUUAAUCCAUCUCUGUUCGACAUAGAUUCUGGUGCUUUGUUAUAUUUUGCUAUGUCUGCAACUUUCAUUUCCUUUGGAGAUGGAGUUACCUACCUGUUUUCCAUCGAAGACUUUUAACAAAUUAGCUUCUCGUCGUGGAGAUGGGAAAGAAAAAUUAUUUGAGGGAGUCAAUUGGGUCUUUGCUGUAAAGUUAAGAAAGAGAGCAAGCGGUACCAUAUUCAUAUAUCCGAAUACCGAGAAUUGUGGUUGAAAAGCCUCCACUCCUUCGCAAGAUGCUGCUCUCCUAUCUCUCGUAAAAAUGUUUUCAAAAUCGGAUCGAUGGUUGAAUUAGUUAGACUAUUUAUUCGUUAGUUUGACCAAUGCUAUCGGUUCAAUUAAAUAAAUUAUCAAAAAAAUUAUAAAAAUUAAAAAAUCGGUUCGACUAUCAGUUUUUAACCCGUUUCGUAAUGGUUCAUGGGUUAACCAAAUUGACGUCUCUUUUAAAAUCAUGCUUCAGUUUUCAGUCCAAAUUGAUCAGAUUGGUCUAAUUUAAUUCAUUCAACAUGUUUCCAGCUUGAAAGAGGCAAGAAAAACUCUAUUUUGUUCAAUACCCAAUAGUGCAACAAAUCAUGGCCUACAAAAGUCUAAACGAAGUUAAAACCAUAAACCAAGGAACAAAAAUCAAGUGCGAUUGCAGUACAAUAUCUGUUCUUACAUUGGAACAAGUAUCCACCAGGAGCCCAUUACAAGUGCUGUAUUUGUUAUAUGUAUUGAUACUAUGGGUGCGAAUCAUGUGUAUUUUUUUUCUACAACUCAAGACCCCUAACCUUUAAAUAGAAUGUUUAAUUCAUA